AAGGAGACAGGUUAUGUGUGCACGCUGCCGGACUGAUGGGAUGUGGCACAGCUUCUUCCACCUCCAGCUGAACCUCGUGGCAGAAGACAGUUGAAACCCCAUGUCUGCUUUAGCUAAUGUGAAGAGAGAGACCAAGAUCAAGUGAAGCUAUUUUUCUGAAAAUGAUGUGUGACCUUCUUUAAGAUCAAGGAAGCAGCAAUCCUGAGCGCCCACCAGUCCUGUGCUCCAUGAAUCCAGUGAUCAGUAGAGGUGCAGUACAUUGGAGUGCCUCCACAGGUUUCCAAACUGAGGGAAAGAUAAAGUUCAAAAUGGCAGAGAAUGUGUCCUGGAGAGCCAAGAAAGGGACAGGCUAUGGCUUUGAUUGGAAGAGCAUCAAAGUGCUGUAGAAGAGGAAGAAGGGAGGAGAAAAAAAAUCCAAACAAAACUCAAAACAAACAAAUGAACUGAAUGGCUUUCAGAAACAUGAGAGAGGCCUUCUGAUUUGGGCUCAGAGCUGGAAUAUGUCUUAAAUCUCAGGCUACUACAUCAAUUAAAUUCAGUUACAAAGGAGAGCAAGCGCAUGCCUCUGGGAGUCAAAGGGAAAUAUUGAUAAAUAAACUGCAGUGGAUAGUUCUUCCAUUCCUAACAAACAAUGCUGGUAAAGAGGACAAUGGGGGUGCUGUUUUGAUGAGAUUCUAAUCCGUGACUGGAAUAGUUUAGCGUAAAACAUGGAAAUUUUGCUUUGUCAGAGGCCUGUGAAUGGCACUGAAAUUGUAAUUGUGGUCAGUGCUAUUGUGAGACCCAAACACUGGAAGAUGUGAUCUUUGCCAUGAGUUUUCACAUGUUCUUUUUAUGUGCCUGGUGGCCUAUGUAUAAAAGCCUUGUCAUAGUUUGAAGAGCAGGGAGCAAAUGGACUUGCUAAUGCCUGGGAGUUGGUCUUCAGUUAGCACAUGGAUUGCUGUGAACUCAGCAGCAUUUAUUGCAUGGUCUGCUGUAUUUACCCUGUUACUCCAGAAUGGAAUUUGAAAUACUUAAAUUCAGAGUGCUGUGUUUGACCUGACUCUCUUUGAAUUGAUUUACAGGGGUUUUUUUUGACAUUCACUACCAUGUGUAGUCCCCAUAAUGUGGACUUGUCGGUGGGAAGCAGCCUGCCCUGGUUAAAUAGUGAGAUCCCAGCCUUACUGAAAAGCUUCUUCCCCUCCCACAUCUUUUUUCUUUCUCUUCUUUUUUUUUUUUUUCUAAGUCGGUUUUGUGGAAGUGAAGUAUUACAAUGGUGUUUCAGAGCAAAUUCUUCAGAUCUUAAAAAAAAAAAAAAAAAGAAAAGGAAAAAUAAAGGUGGGGGAAUGGAGGGAUGGAGGUAGAGAAAAGCUCCACAUGGCAAACCAUUGUCUCUGGAAAUCAAACACGCCCACUAGGUAUUUUUCCAUUGGGAACUAUUGAAUUAGUCCUCUGCAUCCUGAUCAGAGAGACUGUAAAAGUAGGACGCUUGCAGUGAAUAGACUGGUUUUUGUCAAUAGCUUUGAAACCGCCUGCCAGAGCUCGCAUGCAGUAAUUUGUUUAUCGUUACUUCCUUCCUAUGAAAACAGAAUAAAA